rnacentral:tRNA from 1 species
GGAUGUGGCUUAGUGGUAGAGUGCUUGUCUGGCAUGCAUGAGGUCCUGGGUUUGAUUCCCAGCACUG